rnacentral:rRNA from 1 species
UGCAGUCGAGCGGAACGAUCCCAGCUUGCUGGGAGGCGUCGAGCGGCGGACGGGUGAGUAAUGCAUAGGAAUCUGCCCGAUAGUGGGGGAUAACCUGAGGAAACUCAGGCUAAUACCGCAUACGUCCUACGGGAGAAAGCAGGGGCUCUUCGGACCUUGCGCUAUCGGAUGAGCUUAUGUCGGAUUAGCUGGUUGGUGAGGUAACGGCUCACCAAGGCGACGAUCCGUAGCUGGUCUGAGAGGAUGAUCAGCCACAUCGGGACUGAGACACGGCCCGAACUCCUACGGGAGGCAGCAGUGGGGAAUAUUGGACAAUGGGGGCAACCCUGAUCCAGCCAUGCCGCGUGUGUGAAGAAGGCCCUCGGGUUGUAAAGCACUUUCAGUGAGGAAGAAUGCUUGUCGGUUAAUACCCGGCAAGGGAGACAUCACUCACAGAAGAAGCACCGGCUAACUCCGUGCCAGCAGCCGCGGUAAUACGGAGGGUGCGAGCGUUAAUCGGAAUUACUGGGCGUAAAGCGCGCGUAGGCGGCUUGAUAAGCCGGUUGUGAAAGCCCCGGGCUCAACCUGGGAACGGCAUCCGGAACUGUCAGGCUAGAGUGCAGGAGAGGAAGGUAGAAUUCCCGGUGUAGCGGUGAAAUGCGUAGAGAUCGGGAGGAAUACCAGUGGCGAAAGCGGCCUUCUGGACUGACACUGACGCUGAGGUGCGAAAGCGUGGGUAGCAAACAGGAUUAGAUACCCUGGUAGUCCACGCCGUAAACGAUGUCGACUAGCCGUUGGGGUCCUCGAGACCUUUGUGGCGCAGUUAACGCACUAAGUCGACCGCCUGGGGAGUACGCCGCAAGGUUAAACUCAAUGAAUUGACGGGGCCGCACAAGCGGUGGAGCAUGGUGGUUUAAUUCGAUGCACGCGAGACCUUACCUACCCUUGACA